GUGUGUGUUGAAAUUUACGUUGAAAUAAAAAUAGAGUGUGUUUGAAGUUGAUGUGGUUUAUUGUCAUUCUAUUAUAAUAAAAAAUGAAGAAAAUGAUCUGUUGUAAAUCUAAUGCAGAAGAAAUUUAAAUUAAAGCCUCCUCAAAUAUCCUUUUUUCUUUCACCAAUUCUUUUGUUGUAAAAUCAGCAUUCGACGUUCAAUGCUUUUGUGGACAAAAUACAUGACUUAAGGCACAAUUGAGUUGCUCAGUCAUCUGCUUGAUGCGAAAAUUGUUGGGGAAAAACUGAAAGAAAGCGAAAGACGGGCGCAACGGAAAAACUAGAAUAAUCACAAAAAAUAGGAAAAAAAAUUAAAUAGUAUAAAAAAUAAAACAAGAAAUUUGCGAACAGCCGGAAAUACCAUGAUUUCUCUCAACUGUUCACAACUUAAGGGGCUAGAAAGUGAAACCAGCAAAUACAACAAAGCCAACAAUAUGAAUAACGCAAAAACCAUGACUGCCUCAAAUUUCAAAAAUUUCUAAUAUUUUUAUUUACUACUUUUUUCUGUUAUUUUGUAAUUGUAUCUGUACUCGUAUACACUUUCUUGCACCGACAA